rnacentral:rRNA from 1 species
UACGUAGGGUGCAAGCGUUAAUCGGAAUUACUGGGCGUAAAGCGUGCGCAGGCGGUUAUGCAAGACAGAUGUGAAAUCCCCGGGCUUAACCUGGGAACUGCAUUUGUGACUGCAUCGCUGGAGUGCGGCAGAGGGGGAUGGAAUUCCGCGUGUAGCAGUGAAAUGCGUAGAUAUGCGGAGGAACACCGAUGGCGAAGGCAAUCCCCUGGGCUUGCACUGACGCUCAUGCACGAAAGCGUGGGGAGCAAACAGG